rnacentral:lncRNA from 11 species
AAAUUCCGAGCUGUAGUUCAGCACUCAAACCAUUACAGCAGGGGUGCAUCUACACAGGGGAAGGAAUGUAACUGGACACCACUGGAAGUGCCAUGGCUAGGUGCUAUGGAAUCCUUGGGAAUUGCAGCUUGGCUGAAUGAAGACGUUGGAAGGCAGUCCCUGUGAUUCCUCGGCAUUGAGCCAUGGCAGUCCAAGCGGUCUCAAAGUGCAUCACUUCUACAGUGCAGAUGCGUUCUCAUAACAAAGGACUGGCAGGGGAUCCUCAUGGAGUCGGCGGCCCCUUGCUGCUCGGGCGGGGAGGAGGAGAAAGAGAGCCUCUGGGUCCUCUGGGUUCAGGCUUCAAACUGGUUCCUGCUCUGCUUCGUCUCGGGCUGGGUCCCACACUUCCCCGAACAUGUUGCAACUGGCCUCCCCGCCCCUGCCUUGCCCUGCCUUGCCCACAACGCCAGCAAGAGAGAGAGAGAGCGAGAGAGAGAAAGAGAAACAGAGAGAGAGAGCAGGGCAGGAAAUACCUGCCAAGAGGGAGCCAGCCCUGUCUCAACUUGAAGCGGGGCUCAUUCCUCUCUCCCUGGCUCUCUCUCCCUGGAAACGCACAGCCUUGCCUUCCUGUUCCUUGCGCCUUUUCCCGCGGAGACCCCUGGAUCCCAAGUACAUUCCAUAGCUCAUGAAUGGAAGUCUGACAAUUUUUGCCAUUAAAGAACUGCAAGAAUGGAAACCUCAUCUCUGCUGUCGUCUUUGAACGAUGAAUGCAGAUCGGACAACUAUCUUGAGCCACAUUACAAGGAAUGUUACAGGCUGGCCAUUGAUGCACUGAUUGAAGGUGGUUCUGAGGCUUACCAAGAAUUCCUUGCCAAGGAAAGAUGUUCAGAGUUCCUUGCAGAUGAUGAGAUAAAUUAUAUACUAAGCACUGUUCAGAAACUCCCCCAAAACACAAUUUAUGCUACUGACAAUACGAUUGAUGAUGCCUCUUCAUCGGGAACAUAUUGGCCCAUGGAAUCAGAUGUGGAAGCUCCUAACCUUGACUUGGGUUGGCCUUAGUGUGAUGCCUGGGAUUUCUGGUGGUACAAAUAUG